UUUUUUGAUAUUUAGAAUUAACUAGCUUAUUGAAAUGAUUAACCAAAUGCAUCAAAUCAUCUUUCUUUUUUUGCUUUCACAGGAAAACUUAUACUUAUUGUGCAUAUAGUUAUUUUUACUGUCUGCAUAAUGCAUUCCUAGCAUUUCACUCUAUUUAUUCACUAAGUUAGAUAGACUUUGACUACUACGAAAGUAUACUUUAAAGUACUUACUCUUUUUUAAUUUACUUGAUAUAGAACUAUUUAUUAUAGUGUAGCUCCUAAUUGAAAAAGAAGCAAAUCCCCUAAACUCAAUCCUAUCAUGAUUUUUUAGCGUUUCUGAAAGCAUUGCAAAAAACUUAUCAAGCACUGCUAUAACUAGCACCUUGUGUAAAGAAGAAUAUUUCUCUAAAAUUUUUCUUACUAUAUCAGACUUCGUUGCCAUAGCAAAAACAUAUCCCUUA